AAAGUAGGACCUCUGUCCUUUUUUCCAUAAAGAAUAUUUUUUUCUUCUUUACCAGGUGGUGGACACUACCAACAGGGAGCGGAUCAUGUCUGAAUCCGGCUUUCCCUUUGGUCCGGCUUAUGAUCAUAUCUGAAUCUAGCCAUGAUCACUUGGGGGCUUCCUGUUCAAACAUAGGUCGUAUUCGAACCAAAGAGAACAUAGCUGUCGAUACCCGCUUGAUCGGCAUACUGCCAAACCCACUUGGGGGCUUCUUGAUCAUAUUUGAAUCAUAGCUUAACCCCUUUGGGUCUGACAUGGAUCGUAUUCGAAUCAGUGUCAUUAAACAAAUCUUAUGGUCACUUGGGGGCUUCCUAUUCAAACAUAGGUCGUAUUCGAACCAAAGAGAACAUAGUUGUCGAUACCCAUUUGAUCGGCAUCGCCAAGCCACUGGGGGCUAUAUGAUCGUAUCCUAAUCUUAGCUUAACCCCUUUGGAACGGUUUACUGAUCGUAUUCGAAUCAGAAGCCUGUAAAUGUUGGUUAUUAUCCAUUAUAAGCAUAAAUUAUUUUGACUAUACUAAGACCUUGUGAAAGGCAUUAUGCGAUGUUUUCUGUCUUUUCCGGUUUAAUAUUGGUCACACCAGGUUGUUAAAUACCAGGUGAGCAUCAUAUCAGCAGGAAAGAUUAUCAAGGGGAUCGCAGGUAUGUUAUCAUGGUUAUGUUUAAACAACUAUAGUCGUAAACCGGCUCGUGUAUGGUACCUUUGGUUGGUAUUCCGGGUUGUCAAUACUUUAUGGGACCCCCGGUGCAAUAAACCGCCAAAGGAAUUUUUGUUUGUUUUUAUGUGCAGGAUAAGGUAAGCAAAUUUAAAACACCAAGGGCAUAACCGAUCAACAUAAGCCAGAAGUAUAUAGAAACGGCGGCUUACGAAAAUGUUAAGUGCUAGGAAUAUGCGCGAAGGCAUGACAAACAUGGAGAAGUUUUUCUACCCUAUUACAAGACUCCCCGGGUCUGAACAAAUGAAGCAUUGCUUUUCACAUGACGCUUUACUCCUUCGGUGGGCUUGAAGACUCCGGGUUAUCCUUCUCUGCCUCUCCGUCGGCUGUUUUGUCCUGGAAAGUUGAUGAGGCCCGGUCAAUGCCACUCAAGGCUUCAAACUCAGCUUCAUCAUCUAUUAAAUCGGCUGGGUCCACUUCAGGGGCAAAAGUAUGCUUACGAGUAGGAGGGAUCAGGCUGACUUCAUCAUAUGGAACGUUUGGAAUUCUCCGGUUCUCACUAUCAUAGCCCGGAGAAUACUUGGUGAGGUCGGUAUCAUUCCCAAUAAGGGUUGCCACGGGACGUAUAACUUUGACACAGGCGAUGAAGUCCUGAUCAUCAAAUGCAGUACCGUCCUCUUUCCGACUGGGAUAUCCAAGAGCAAGGUCGGCCGGGUCUAGCUCUGGAAGCCAUGCUUUUGCCCGGCUCAAUGCGGCUACGGCUCCGGCUCUUGCGGAUGCCCGCCUUAAAUCCUGAAUUCGCUGAGGUAGCACAGCGAGAUGCUUCAGCACGUCUUGUAAGAGGUGGGGAGGGGUGUUUGAUAAGGCUACAACGGCCAAGGCACGUUGUGACCCGGAGUACGGCUGUUCCACUAAGGUGUAAACUGCUUUAAGCUUGAUCAGCAUGUUUUUCUUAAGGUUGGUACUCCUGGGGCCUGUGUGUGCACAAGCAUAACAGUCAGCCGGAAGUAAUUAUUACAAUAGUUAUUGUAAGGUUACAAUGUUUGAGGUUUUGCAUAGUAACUUACCGAAGAUGGCUGAGACCAUUUGAGAUAUCUGCCGUUUUAAGUCGGACAGCUCGGUUGUUGCCUCUGCAAGAGAUGCUUCUGCUGUCUCGGCCCGAGUCACCAGUCAAGCCUUCUCAUCAGCCCAAGCAUUCUUCUCUGACUCAAAAUUUUUCUUCAACUUCUCAUUUCCAGAGACACUGAAUUCAAACUUGGAGUUGGCCUUCUGAGUUUCAAGUUCUUGAGUUUCCAGACGACUCUUCAGGACAGCAAGCUCCGAUUCAAAUUGACUUAUGGUGGCCUGCAUUGACGCCAGGUUAUGGUAAGGAUCACUGUCGUGGAAUUGUCAUGUCAGAUGUCCUCGUGAAAGGACUUAGUUGUGGAGCCAUUGCAACUAGGAAGCUUGAAGGGGUUAAUCGGGACAAAGGACACGAGAGGUUUUUAUACUAGUUCGGCCCCUUACGGUGAAGGUAAGGCCUACGUCUAGUUGGGUUGGUAUUGAUGUUUCGAUGACCAGGGAGCGAGAUACGCUAUGCUGGUUCUUGAUGAGUUGUUUCCUGCCCUAAACCGCCAGCGGGUCGUCCCAUUAUAUACACGGGUCGAUGCCCUGCGGCUUAUAGAGUCCCGGCCGGCUUAUAAAUAAUGUCCGGCUCAGUGACUAGUUAAGUCUACCUUAUGAUACAAAAAUAUUAUAACUGCGGACUACAACGGGCCUUAAGUCGCCGGUGGGCUUUAAGCUUCCUAUGAACCGUCAUCUUCAUGCCUUGUCUUGGGCUUCUCUCCGGGGAGUCCUCUUUGCGUAACCCGGCCCCUCCUGGGCGGCUUACACAAAUAGUUAUAACCCCAACAUUAGGCCCCAGAUUGAUUUGAACCGGUUCAUGUCAAUCUUAAAAUACCUUAUGAACCGCCCUACAGUCUUCUAUCUUGCGCGAAGGAUUUUAACCCGCUGUGACAUCAUCAUCUAACUCUGGGUUAAAUCUUUGUGAUGUCAUCUUCAUUAAAGAUUCAUUUUUUAUAACGUCACAUCUUCAAUGGAUCUUUGUCUUUACUGACCAUCCCGAGAAUCGAGGCGCCAGAGCCGCUGGAUAAUGAAUGUUAUCUCCUCGUUUCUCGCGCCCUCUUGGUCAGUCUUCCCUUAUAAAUAGGGCAACCUAGUUCUUUUCCCCAGUCGUCUUCUUCCUCUCCUCUCUGCCACUCGAGCUCCGCCGCUGUCGCCAUCGACUCCCUUGUCUUCAUCGACUCAGGCCGCUGCAUCGACCUGACCUUGACCAGAGAUCGACGGUGAACCUCCGCAGCUCGUCCGCAUCUGUGAGUUCCUUUCAUUCCCUUUCUCAGAUCUGCAUUAGGUCCUUAUCGAGUUCGUCGGUGUUCAUCACUGGCCGACACCAAACCCUCGAUAAUUCCUUCCAAUGCCCUGUUAGAUCGUGAAAACCACAUAGAACUGCUGCGGUGUUUGUUUGUGUUGAUCUUGCAUAAAAAUAGAUCCCCUUUCCCUUGUUCAGGAACCCUCUUCGAGUGCAUGAACUUCUCUGCCUCGUUUUAGGUCUAGAAAAUUUCCUUUUCAGAACAAUAUUUUGAUCCAGAAACUGUUGGCUAUGAAACUUGCUUUUAUCACCCGGAAAAUCUCUUCUGGUACAUGCCCUGAAACACAACUGUCGAGAUGUCCGGCUUAAAUAAAUGAUACAGAACCUUGACUGCUCCUCAUGACCCAGAAAAAUUUUGAAUUGCACUUGAUACUUGUAGCGGCUUAAAUACAGUCAUCCUUAUAUCAUUAGGCCCCUCAUUAAUCCGCCACUUUAAAUAAUCAAGAUUUUCCUCCCGGGUUAAAAUUGAACCGGAUCUUCUUGUUUUCCAUAGGCCAAUUGCUGUGAUGGAUCCUAAGGCUACCAAGGCCCCUGUAACUUGCAAUUGGGUUCCAUCCAUAGUGACCAAUAGCAAACUAGCUGAGUUUGUAAAGUUUGGGCAUCUGCCAAAAAAGGACGUCAUGUCGUACCGUGCCCCUGACUCGUCUGAAGAAAUGCCUCUCCCCAAAGCAGGGGAAGUAAUAAUUUUUACAGAUCAUAUGAGCCGUGGAUUUGCCCCACCCGGUUCAAAAUUCUUCAGAGAGGUUUUAAAUGUCUUUGACCUUAGACCUCAAGACAUCGGACCCAAUUCUGUGUCAAAUAUUUGCAAUUUUCAAGUCUUCUGCGAGGUGUACCUGGGAGAGGAACCAAGUCUGAUUUUGUUCAGGGAACUUUUUUACAUGAACCGGCAAAAUGAAUGUGCCAACGGGCCCAGUCUUGAGCUUGGCGGCAUCUCAAUCGAGCGACGGAGAGACUGUCUUUUCCCUUAUGCUGAGUUGCCGAGUCACCCCAAAUCUUGGAACCAGACGUGGUUCUACUGUCAGGACACUUCUCCGGCUGAUGAAAAACCUCUGCCCGGCUUUCGCGCCCUGCGACUUGAGUCGAACCAUCCACUACUGGACAAGCUGACAACCCUUGAACGCGUGCCUCUCAAUUCCACCAUCAAGAAAAUAAAAGCUCUCUUGGGAAAUGGCUUAAACGGCAUCGAUCUGGUCCGAGUCUGGGUCACUUGGCGUAUACUUCCAUUAAGCCGCCGUCCCGGCUUAAUGUGUACUUAUACUGGAGAAAAGACUGAUCCACAACGCCAUAGCCCUGACGACUUACCAGAUGAUGUGGUGGAUGCUACCACCCAGUCACUGCUGAAGGAGGGUACUAUGACGAGCAACACCUUCGGCUUACUUCCGUUUUGCAAGAAUAACCCGGCCCCUGCGGUAAGUUAUCAAUCGUAACAAAUGUUCACGGAUACAUGAUACCUUGCUUCAUAUUCAUAAUUCUUUAACUUUUUUCAUAGGCUGGGGAUGACUUCUGGAAAGCCAAAUAUGACCAUGAAGCUGCCAAACAAGCCAGGACGACCAAGAAAGCUGAAAGGAAAGCCGCCAAGGUAGGAACCUCAAAGAAGAAAAAACCCAGCGCCUCCGACUUACUCAGAUUGGAGGAUAGAUAGGAAGAGGUACUCUUUAAAUUUUCUUAAGUCCCUUGUUACCACCUGUCUGACAUUUUUAUCCUUUCAGUAGGAUACGGGGAACAGUCGAGCAGCCAAUGAAGAGGUAACUAUAAUCUCCUCCGACUCAGAGCCUUUGCCAAGGAAAGACCCGAAGGGUGACCCGGAAAGUAAGAUUUUCACAUGCACUUGCUUAUCAAGAUCCUCAAUUUAUUUUGAAGCAACAACAGCUUGAGAACCGGAGGCAGACCCAGAACAACAAGGAUGCAGAACUCUCCUCCGGCUUACCUGAUGUGACCAGGAAGCGUCGUACUGAGGUUAUCUCCGAUUUACGCUCUGUCUUACCUUUAGCAGGCUUAAUUCGUCAACCUCUCAAUUCAUCUGACUCCAACUAUCAGGAUACCUCUCCUUCUUCUGGUGAAUCCAUGCAGUCAAAUAUGCCGACUUUCAAAACUGCUCCCGGGUAAUGUAAACUUAUGCACUUUUUACCUUACCCAUGCUUACGUAUUCAUCCUUCUGCUUUUGUUAACAGUAUGCAAGUGAAGCCCAGCAAACGGGCAAAGAAGAAUAAGCCGUCCGAAGAACCGGUCGUGGCUGAACCGGUGAUUAAUAGUCUGCUCCAGAUAGCGCUACCCAUCAACCGCCACCUGACCCGGCUUCUGAUAUUCCAGUGCCAACCUCUGAUCCACCUACCGAAGACAUUCUCCACAAAAAUGACCCGGAGACUCCUAACCCGGUGAAGAGAAAUGACCCGAAAGUUGAGAUUGUGAAGUCCCAGUUUGUUGAACCAGGGCGGCCUACAGUCCUUGCCAAAUGUACCGCCAAGGAAGAGUUUGCCCAACACCCAAAAGCCAAGCAGGACAUUACGGAUUAUACUCACCUAAGCAUUGGUGAUAUAGUCUCAGGCUAUCUGAAUAGAGUGCAUAGUAGCCGUGACCUGGAAGUUGACAUGGUGAAACAAAUAUAGCAUAAAUCUGAGGUAUAACUUAUACUUUUAUCUGAGUCUUAUAUAUACUGUACCAGCCCCCAAGUCUAUUGCUUAUGAACAAAUACGCUGUAGACUUAGAAAUCUACUUUUACUUGGUAAUUUAUCCGGCUUAAAAAGAAUUUAUUUAACCCGGUAUAACAUAAGGCUCUUAAAUUUGCAAUAUACAUUAGUCCCCAAGUGUCAAGUACCCUUACUUGUAAGGUGCUUGAAACUUAAUAUGUUUGACCCCGCAGGAUAAAGUUAAAAAUUCUUCAGCAUACAUUAGCCCCCAAGUGCCAAGUAUCUUUACUUGUAAAGUGCUUGGGACUUGAAUGUUUACCUUACUAGAAUCCUUACCAUAACCCGGUGUCAAUGCAGGCCGCCAUAAGUCAAUUUGAAUCAGAGCUUGCUGCUCUGAAGAGUCGUCUGGAAACUCAAGAGCUUGAGACGCAGAAAGGUAACUCCAAAUUUGAAUUUAGUGUCUCUGAAAAUGAGAAGCUAAAGAAGAAUUUUGAGUCAGAAAAGAAAAUUUGGGCGGAUGAAAAGGCUUCCCUGGUGACUCGGGCCGAAACAGCCGAAGCAUCUCUUGCAGAAGCAACAACCGAGCUGUCCAACUUAAAACAGCAAAUAUCCCAAAUGGUCUCAGCCAUCUUUGGUAAGUUAUUGUGACACAGCUUUAACAUGGCAACCUGUCAAUAACUAUUGUAACAAUUACUUCCGGCUUACCAUUAUGCUUGUGCACAUACAGGCUCUAGGAGUGUCAAUCUGAAGCAGAACACGCUGAUCAAGCUUAAAGCAAUUUACACGUUAGUGGAACAACUAUACUCCGGGACACAACGUGCCCUGGCCGUUGUAGCUUUAUCAACUCCACACCCCCGCCUUUUGCAAGAUGUAUUGAAGAGCCUUGCCUUUCUACCUCAGCGGAUCCAAGACUUAAGGCAUUCAUCUUCAAGAGCCGGGGCCAUAGCCGCAUUGAGCCGGGCAAAAGCAUGGCUCCCAGAACUAGACCCGGCAGACCUUGCUCUUGGAUAUCCGAGUCUAAAGGAAGACGGCAAUGCCUUUGAUGAUCAUGACUUCCACGCCUGUAUUAAAGCCAUACGUCCAGUGGCCACCCUUAUUGGAAACGAUACUGACCUCGGCAAGUAUGUGUCGGCUUAUGACAGUAACAACCGGAAAAUCCCAAAUGCUCCAUAUGAUCAAAUCAGCCUGAUCCCUCCAACUCGUAAGCAUAAUUUUGCCCCUGAAGUGGACCCGGUCAGUUUAAUAGAUGAUGAAGCUGAAUUUGAAGCUUUGAGCGGCAUUGAUUAGGCUUCAUCAACUUUCUAGGAAACAACAGCCAACGGAGAAGCGGAGAAGGAUAACCCGGAGCCUUCCAACCCGCCGAAGGAGUGAAUCACCAGGUGUUUGGCCAAAAUACAAUGCUUACUCUAUUCAGACUUGGGGAGUCUUGUAAUAGGGUAGAAAUAACUUCUUAAUGCUCGUCAUGCCUUCAUGCAUGCUCUUAUCACUUGACGCUUUUCGUAAGCCGCCAUGGCUGUAUAUUUCUGGCUUUUACUUCCUUGGCGUGUUAAAUUUUGCUUGCCUUAUUCUGCAAUCCUUGAAUGAUCUUCCCGGCUCAUAUAAUGUUCACCCGGUACUUAAUAACCUAGGGUGACGAAUAUUAAACCGGCAAGACAAAAAACAAUUUUAAAUGCUUUUCACAAGGUAUCAGAAUAAUCAAAAUACUUUUACAGGCUUCUGAUUCAGAUACGAUCAGUAAACCGUUCCAAAGGGGUUAAGCUAAGAUUCGGAUACGAUCAUAUAGCCCCCAGUGGCGUGGCAAUGCCAAUCAAGUGGGUAUCGACAGCUAUGUUCUCUUUGGUUCGAAUACGACCUAUGUUUGAACAGGAAGCCCCCAAGUGACCAUAGGAUUUAUUUAAUGACGUUGAUUCGUAUACGAUCCACGUUAGACCUAAAGAGGUUAAGCUAUGAUUCAAAUAUGAUCAAGAAGCCCCCAAGUAGGAUUGGCAAGUAUGCCGAUCAAGUGGGUAUCGACAGCUAUGUUCUCUUUGGUUCGGAUACGACCUAUGUUUGAACAGGAAGCCCCCAAGUGAUCAUGGCUAGAUUUAGAUAUGAUCAUAAGCCGGUCCAAAGGGAAAGCCGGAUUCAGAUAUGAUCCGGUCCCUGUUGGUUGUUUCCACCACCUGCCAAAAAGACAUAUACACUUUUUUGAGGGUGAAAAAAGGACAGAGGUCCUGCUUUAUUACUUUAUAUAAUAUAUACAUUGUCGAAAAAUAUAUACAUCUAAAGAGCCGGUGGCUUAAGUAUAGUAAGGCCAAAGAUGGGCUAUAUUCCACGGCUGGCGGGUCUCUUCCUCCGAUUUACCUGAGUCUUUGUGCUCUCGAAUAUCAAUGAGGUAGUAUGACCCGUUGUGCAAGUUCUUGCUGACCACAAAGGGUCCUUCUCAAGGAGGGGAUAGCUUGUGCAUAUCAGACUGAUCCUGGAUGAGCCGCAGCAUGAGAUCACCUUCCUGAAAGGUUCUGCUUCUGACCCGGCGGCUGUGAUAAUGACGAAGGUCUUGCUGGUAAAUCGCUGAGCGGGCUAUUGCCAAGUCUCGCUCUUCAUCCAACAAAUCAAGUGCCUCCUGUUGAGCUUUUUCAUUGUCAACCUCAACGUAAGCCGCCACACGGGGUGAGUCGUGCCGGAUGUCGCUCGGCAGAACUGCCUCUGCUCCAUAAACCAUGAAAAAAGGCGUAUAACCCGUGGAUCUGUUAGGCGUAGUGUUGAUGCUCCAUAGCACAGAGGGCAGCUCUUCGACCCAACAACUCGGAGUCCGCUGUAAGGGGACCAAGAGCCGUGGUUUGAUACCCCUUAAAAUCUCAUGAUUAGCUCGUUCUGCUUGACCAUUGGACUGAGGAUGAGCAACAGCAGAAACGUCAAGCCGGAUAUGUUCCCGUUGGAAGAACUCUUCCAUGGCACCCUUGGAGAGAUUAGUGCCAUUAUCAGUUAUGAUGCUAUGUGGAAAACCAAAAUGAAAGAUCGCCUUUUUGAUGAACUGCACCGCUGUGGCCGCAUCACACUGACUGACCGGCUCUGCCUCAAUCCACUUUGUAAAUUUAUCCACUGCCACCAGGAGGUGCGUUUUUUUAUCCUUAAACCUUUUGAAAGGUCCCACCAUGUCAAGCCCCCAGACUGUGAACAGCCAAGUAAUUGGAAUCAUCCUCAACUCCUGAGCCGGCACAUGAGCUCGUCUUGAGAACUUUUGACACCCGUCACAUUUGCUAACAAGGUCUUCUGCAUCAGCAUGAGCCGUCAGCCAAUAAAAACCAUGACGGAAAGCCUUGGCCACCAGAGAUUUUGAGCCGGCAUGAUGACCACAAUCCCCUUCAUGGAUCUCUCGAAGUAUCGCUUGAACUUCUGCAGGUGAGACACAACGCUGGAACGCCCCUGUAACACUAAGGUGAUGUAAUUCGCCAUUAACAAUUGUCAUGGAUUUGGAUUGCCUGACAAAUUGUCUCGCCAAGGUCUCAUCCUCAGGCAGCUCUCCCCGGGUCAUAUAAGCCAAAUAUGGCAAUGUCCAGUCUGGGAUGACAUGAAGUGAAGCCACCAACUGUGCCUCCGGGUCCGGCACUGCAAGCUCUUCCUAUGUAGGUACUUUGACAGAAGGAUUAUGUAGAACGUCCAGAAAGGUGUUAGGCGGCACCGGCUUACGCUGAGAGCCCAACCGGCUUAAAGCAUCCGCCGCCUCAUUCUUCCUUCUAUCAAUGUGCUCCACCUGAUACCCUUUGAAGUACCCAGCUACAGCAUCAACUUCAUGACGAUAAGCCGCCAUAAGGGGAUCCUUAGAAUCCCAUGUGCCUGAGACCUGUUGAGCCAUGAGAUCUGAGUCGCCCAAGCACCUUACCCAGCUUAGAUUCAUCUCCUUAGCCAUCCGGAGACCAUGGAGCAAGGCCUCGUAUUCAGCUACAUUGUUAGUGCAAGGAAACAUGAGCCGGAGCACAUAACGAAAUUUGUCACCUCGAGGGGAAGUUAAGACAACCCCAGCCCCUGAUCCUUCUAACUGCCUGGACCCAUCAAAGUGAAUAGUCCAAUACGUAUUGUCCGGCUUCUCCUCAGGUGCCUGCAACUCUGUCCAAUCAUUGAUAAAAUCCACCAAGGCCUGAGACUUGAUGGCAGUACGGGGCAUAUACUUCAGGCCAUAAGGCCCAAGCUCAAUGUCCCACUUGGCGAUUCAUCCUGUGGCUUCCCUGUUCUGGAUGAUGUCUCCCAAAGGAGCUGAACUUACCACCGUUAUAGGAUGACCUUGAAAGUACUGCUUCAGCUUCCGAUUUGCCAUGAAUACACCGUAAACAAGCUUCUGCCAAUGCGGAUACCUUUGUUUAGACUCAAUAAGUACCUCUCUGAUGUAGUAAACGGGCCGUUGAACCGGAUGCUCCUUGCCUGCCUCCUUACGUUCCACUAUGAUGGCCACACUGACGGCCCGUGAGUUAGCAGCCACAUAUAAUAAUAGCGGCUCUCUAUCAAUGGGAGCUGCAAGAACCGGUGGCUCAGACAACUGUCUCUUUAAAUCCUCAAAGGAAGCGUUAGCAACAUCACUCCAGACAAAAGUGUCUGUUUUCUUCAUCAUCUGGUAUAGCGGCAAGGCCUUUUCCCCCAACCGGCUUAUGAACCGGCUUAAAGCAGCAACACGUCCCGCCAGGCGUUGAACAUGAUUGAUACAUGCCGGCUUAGCCAGAGAGGUAAUCGUCGUGAUCUUCUCCGGAUUAGCUUCAAUGCCUUGAUUUGACACCAGAAAACCCAAGAGCUUGCCUGCAGGUACAUCAAAUACACACUUGGCCGGGUUAAGCAUCAUCUUGUAAACCCGGAGAUUGUCAAAGGUCUCUCUCAAAUCGGAUAUUAAAGUUUCCUUUUCUCUGGAUUUCACCAUGAUGUCAUCCACAUAAGCAUGAACAUUGCGCCCAAUCUGAUCGUGCAAACAGUUCUGCACACAUCGCUGAUAAGUCGCCUGGGCACUCUUGAGCCCAAACGGCAUAGAUACAUAACAGAAGGCCCCAAACAGAGUGAUGAAAGCUAUCUUCUCCUAGUCCUUAACUGCCAUCUUGAUCUGAUGAUAGCCAGAGUAAGCAUCCAAAAAGCUCAAACAUUCACAACCUGCUAUAGCAUCAAUGAUUUGAUCAAUACGGGGGAGUGCAAAGGGAUCAGCCGGGCAAGCCUUGUUUAAGUCCGUGUAAUCCACACACAUCUACCAAGUGCCUUUUUUCUUGAGCACCAGCACCGGGUUAGCCAACCACUCUGGAUGAAAGACUUCGACAAUAAACCCGGCCACUAAGAGUCGGGCCACCUCUUCCCCAAUGGCUGCUCGUCUCUCUUUGUUGAAUCAUCGGAGAAACUGCCUGACUGGCUUACUUUGGAUCAAUAUUGAGAGUGUGCUCAGCGAGUUCCCUCGGUACACCCGGCAUGUCAGAAGGUUUCCAUGCGAAGAUGUCUCGGUUCUCAAGGAUGAACUCGAUGAGCGCGCUUUCCUAUUUAGGAUCCAAAUUGGCACUGAUACUGAACUGCUUAGAGGCGUCUCCCGGGGUGAAGUCAACAAGCUUUGUCUCAGCGGCCGAUUUAAACUUCAGCGUCGGGUCGUGCUCUGUAGUUGGUUUCUUGAGGGAGGUCAUAUCAGUCGGGUCAACAUUGUCUUGAUAGAAUUUGAGCUCCUCCGCAGCACAGGUCGUCUCAGCAUAAGCCGCGUCGCCUUCUUCACAUUCCAAGGCUACCUUCCGACUCCCAUGCACAGUGAUGGUGCCCUUGUAACCCGGCAUCUUGAGCUGUAAGUAAACGUAACACGGCUGUGCCAUGAACUUAGCAUAAGACGGUCACCCAAACAGAGCGUGAUAUGGACUCCUGAUUUUGACCACUUCAAACGUCAACUUCUCAGCCCUGGAAUCAUACUCAUCUCCAAAGGCCACCUCUAAUUCUAUCUUACCAACCGGGUAAGCCGACUUGCCCGGAACCACCCCAUGGAAAACAGUGUUGGAUGUUCGCAGGUUCUUCUCAGUCAACCCCAUACGCUGGAAGGUCUCAUAAUAGAGUAUGUUGAUGCUACUACCUCCAUCCAUGAGUACCUUAGUGAAUUUAUACCCACCAACCUGGGGUGCUACCACCAAGGCUAACUGACCCGGAUUAUCGACGCGUGGGGGGUGAUCCUCUCUGCUCCAAAUGAUGGGUUGCUCUGACCAUCUUAAAUAACGAGGAACUGCUGGCUCAACUGAAUUUACAGCCCUCUUAUAAACCUUCUGGUCAUGUUUGCAUAAGCUGGUGGUAAAUACAUGGUACUGUCCACCGCUCAACUAUUUUGGUUGGCUCUAGUAACCCGACUGCUGCUGCUGCUGUCCACCCUGACCAGAUUGCUGCUGAUUAUUUCCACCCGGCUGUCCCUGAAAACCGGAAUUUGAGCCGCCGCCCGGGCCAUGAAAGCCGUCGGCCCCUGAACCACCACCAGAUCCAUGACCACCAUCAAAGAUAUUGGAAUUUUUAAAUGCCUUCAUUAUCGCACAAUCUUUCCACAGGUGCGUAGCGGGGUGCUCCCGGGUGCCGUGUUUCGGACAGGGCUCGUUGAGUAGCUGCUCAAGAGAUGGGCCUGACCCGCUGUUUCGAAGCCACUUACCCUUACGUCUCUGAUUGUUACCCUGCGUACUAGCGUUAGCCACCAGCUCCGGGUUGCCAUCCACCUUACGCUUGUUACUACUUUGAUUCCCCGGGUUGGGUUGUUGACCCUUUCCAUUACCGUUCCUUUUACCCUUCCCUGCCUUCUAUCGUCAGACGCGGGGUCCUUGGUAUUAUCAGAAUCGGCAUAUUUGACUAAAGCCGCCAUCAGCGUUCCCAUAUCGGUGCAAUCACGCUUAAGUCGGCCCAAUUUCUGCCUCAGCGGUUCGAAGUUGCAAUUCUUCUCCAACAUGAGGACUGCAGAGCCGGCAUCCAUCUUAUCAGAUGAGUGAAUGAUCUCCUUGACCCGGCGUACCCAAUGGGUGGUGGACUCACCCUCCCCCUACUUACAACUUUUCAAGUCCACGAUUGACAUGGACUGCUUACAGGUGUCUUUGAAGUUUUGGAUGAACCGGGCCUUUAACUCCUCCCACGAACCAAUGGAAUUGGGUGGUAAACCUUUUAGCAAGGACCGGGCCGUCCCAUCUAACAUCAUGGUGAAGUAUUUAGCCAUUGCCGCGUCACUAACCUCCAACAGCUCCAUGGCCAUCUCAUAGCUCUCAAUCCAUGCCCCGGGUUGUAAGUCGGCCGUGUAAUUCGGCACCUUUCGAGGUCCCUUGAAGUCCUUAGGCAGGCGCACAUUACGCAAAGCCGGUAUCAAACAGGGAACCCCACCGGUUCUGGUGGCUACUCCCAUCUCAAAAGAAGUCAUUGGAUACUCUGGGAUAUCCUGGUGAGUCACCCGCUGAGCCGCCUGCUGAGCAGCUAGUUGAGCCGCCCGUUCGUUCUCCUAACGUACUCGAUUCUGCACCGGGUUAUAGCCACCAUGCUGGCGUUGGGCGUUGCUUGAUAAAGCUUCAGACUCCAUGUGCCUGUUGUAACUUGGGCUCCGGUUCUGACAAGGCGGCGCUAACCAAGGUGGAGGAGUUGAAUGAAUUCUAUCCCGGCUGUAAGAAUAGGUCUCUUGCUGAGCCAGAGCCGUCUGGACAAGUUCCCUGAUCCUCCGGGUCUCCACCGCUGUUGGAUCAUCACCAUCCACUGGAAGAGCUGCCAAACACGCUGAUGCUGCGAUUAAAUUCUCCAUGGGGUUGGAAAAGUGACCCUCCGGUAUUGGCACAUAACGCGGCGGUGCCAUGCUCAUGUGAGGAGGUGGCAUCUCCUGACGCUGAGCCGGUCCUCCCACUCCGGGUGUCGUAAACUGAUUAGCAUUGGGCGGGUUACUUGGGCCGGCUCCGGGUGUGGCAAAGAGAACCCUAGGGUCAUAAUUCGGAGGCAACCGGGAUUGGGUCUUCUGGUGUCUCCUCCUCAUUACCUCAUUGGACGCAUUUAAACUCAUCGUAAGCUGGUAAGCCUCUGACUGCAACCGCUGUGCCCGGGCGUCGAGAGUCGCCCGCUCCAUGGCUAGCCUAGUAUCCUCAGCUGCCAAGGCCUCCUUGGCCUGAGCUAUCUCCUCACGUACCCGUGCUACCUCCGCGUCAUGCUCAUCUUUGUUUGCAGGAAUAACCGUGGCGGUUAACAGGGUCGUAAGCUUGUCCAUGAGGUCUAUCAGUACUUGAGCCGGCGGGCGCACAGGGCCUCCUGCCCUGGCUACUCCUAACCCGGAAGUGAUUGCGGCCGCAGCUGUAGAGUUUUGUCCGGGUUGAGUCCCAGUCAUAAAGACUCCUGCCCAAUUUGGCGACUCACAGAGGUCCGGAAUACUAAGGCCAUCGGAACAGCCCCCAAGCGCACCAUCUUGAACUUGAUACAAAGAAUCUGUUGAACCAGCAGACGAAUCACCGUCAGAGGGGACGGCCGUCUCACCACCAUCUUCAGGACCUCUGAAAGCUCUUCUCCGUGGAUGCAGCCCACAAAGACACGCUUCAUGCUGGGUUGAACUCGGGCGGGUUUCGCACGCUGAGCCGUCUCGAUGAGGUUGGUGCAUUUUUCUGGCUCAGGCCCCGGCUCACCAAUCCGGCCGAUGAAGACGUGGAUCCCUCCGAAGGGGACCCAGUACCCGUACUCAAUUGAGCCGGCGUCGGGGCCCCAGCCUUCGUCGUCGAUGUAGAUCUUGCCAUGACGACUUUUGGUCAUCCGGCCCGCUACGUAUCCCUUGAGCCCUUCGAAGUUGCCCUUUAAGAACUCAAAUCCACCUUGCGCUGGCCCCACGGUGGGCGCCAACUGUCGUGGAAUUGUCACGUCAGAUGUUCUCGUGAAAGGACUUAGUUGUGGAGCCAUCGCAACUAGGAAGCUUGAAGGGGUUAAUCGGGACAAAGGACACGAGAGGUUUUUAUACUAGUUUGGCCCCUUACGGUGAAGGUAAGGCCUACGUCUAGUUGGGUUGGUAUUGAUGUUUCGAUGACCAAGGAGCGAGAUACGCUAAGCCUGGUUCUCGAUGAGUUGUUUCCUGCCCUAAACCGCCAGUGGGUCGUCCCCUUAUAUACACGGGUCGACGCCCUGCGGCUUACAGAGUCCCGGCCGGCUUAUAAACAAUGUCCGGCUCGGUGACUAGUUAAGUCUACCUUAUGAUACAAGUAAUAUUAUAAUUGUGGUUUACUACAACGGGCCUUAAGUCGCCGGUGGGCUUUAAGCUUCCUAUGAACCGUCAUCUUCAUGCCUUGUCUUGGGCUUCUCUCCGGUGAGUCCUCUUUGCGUAACCCGGCCCUUCCUGGGCGGCUUACACAAAUAGUUAUAUCCCCAACAAUCACGGCAAGGUAACAUUCAAGUCCCAAGCACUUUACAAGUAAAGAUACUUGGCACUUGGGGGCUAAUGUAUGCUGAAGAAUUUUAAACCUAUCAUACCGGGUCACCCAUAUUAAGUCUCAAGCACUUUACAAGUAAAGAUACUUGACCCUUGGGGGCUAAUGUAUAUUGCAAAUUUAAGACUAUCAUGUUAUAACCGGAUUAAAUAUAUUCUCUUUGAACCGGAUAAAUUAACAAGUAAAGCAGAUUUCUAAGUCUAUAGCAUAUUUAUUCAUAAGCAAUAGACUUGGGGGCUGGUAUAGUAUGUAAGAUUCAGGUAAAUAGUAUAAGUUAUACCUCAGAUUUGUGUUGUAUUUAUUUUACCAUGUCAAUUUCCAGGUCACGGCUAUUAUGCACUUGAUUCAGAUAGCCCGAGACUAUAUCACCAAUGCUUAAGUGAGUAUAAUCAGUAAUGUCCUGCUUGGCUUUUCGGCGUUUGGCAAGUUCUUCCUUGGCAGUACAUUUGGCAAGGACGGUAGGCCACCCUGGUUCAACAAACUGAGACCUCACAAUCUCAACUUCCGGGUCAUUUGUCUUGACCGGGCUAGGAGUCUUCGGGUUAUAAGAACUGUUGAGAGUAUCUUCGGCGGGCGGAUCAAAGGUUGGCACUGGAAUAUCAGAAGACGGUUCAGGCGGCGACUGAUGGGUAGACCUGUCUGGAGCAGACAUAUUAAUCACCAGUUCAGUUACAAUCGGGUCUUGGGACGGCUUAUUCUUCUUUGCCCUCUUGCUGGUUUUCACUUGCAUGCUGUUAACAAAGGCAGAAGGAUGAAUACGCAAGCAUGGGUAAAGUAAAGCUCAAGGUACAUAAGGUUACAUAACCCGGGAGCAGUUUUGAAAGCCGGCAUGUUUGAUUGCAUGGAUUCGCCGGAAGAAGGAGAGGUAUCCUGAUAAUUGGAGUUAGACAAAUUGAGAGGUUGACGAAUUAAGCCCGCUAAAGGUAAAAUAGAACGUAAAUCAGAGAUAACCUCAGUCUAACGCUUCCUGGUUAUGUCAGGUAAGACGGAGGAGAGUUCCGCAUCCUUGUUGUUCCAGGUCUGCCUCCGGCUCACAAGUUGUUGUUGCUUCAAAAGAAAUUGAGGAUCUUGAUAAGCAAGAGCAUGUGAAAAUCUUACUUUCCGGGUCACCCUUGGGAUCUUUUGCUUUGGCAAAGGCUUUGAGUCGGAAAAGAUUAUAGUUACCUCUUCAUCGGCUGCUUGACUGUUCUCCGUAUCCUCCUGAAGGGAUAGAAUGUCAGACAGGUAAUGACAAGGGAAUUAAGAAAAUUUAAAGAUUACCACUUCAUCAUCCGAAGAACUAUCAUCCAAUUUGAGUAAGUCAGAGGCGCUGGGUUUCUUCUUCUUUGAGGUUCCCGUCUUACUGGUUUUCCUUUCGGUUUUGUUGGUCGUCCUGGCUUGUUUGGCAGCCUCAUGGUCAUAUUUGACCUUCCAGAAGUUAUCAUCGGCCUGUGGAAAAGGAUAAGGAAUUAUGAGUACCAAAAAAGGUAUAAUAUAGCAAAGAGUAUUUAUUAAGAUUGAUAACUUACUUCAGGGGACGGGUUCUUCUUGCAAAAGGGAAAUAAGCCGAAGGUGUUACUCGUCACAGUGUCCUCCUUCAGUAGCGACUGGGUUGUAGCAUCCACCACAUCAUCUGGUAAGUCGUCAGGACUAUGGCGUAACGGGUCAUCCUUUUUGCCUAUGUAAGUACACAUUAAGCCGGAAUGGCGGCUUAAGGGAAGUACUCGCCAAGUGACCCAGACUCGGACCAGAUCGAUGCCGUUUAAACCGUUUCCCAAGAGAGAUUUGAUCUUCUUGAUGGUGGGAUUGAGAGGCAGACAGUCAACGGCCGUCAGUUUGUCUGUUAGCGGAUGGUUGGACUCAAGGCGCAGGGCACGAAAGCCGGGCAGAGGCUUCUCAUCAGCCGAAGAAGUGUCCUGACAGUAGAACCACGUUUGGUUCCAAGAUUUUGGGUGACUCGGCAGCUCAGCAUAAGGAAAAAGGCAGUCUCUCCGUCGCUAGAUCGAGAUGCCGCCAAGCUCAAGACUGGGCCCGUUGGCACGUUCAUUUUGCCGGUUCAGGUCGAAAAGUUCCCUGAACAAUAGCAGACUUGGCUCCUCUCCCAGGUACACCUCGCAGAAGACUUGGAAAUUGCAAAUAUUUGACACGGAAUUGGGUCCGAUGUCUUGAGGUCUAAGGUCAAAGAAAUUCAAAACCUCCCUGAAGAAUUUUGAGCCGGGAGGAGCAAAUCCCCGGCUCAUAUAAUCUGUAAAAAUUAUUACCUCCCCUUCUUUGGGUUGAGGCCUCUCUUCAGACGGGUCAGGGGCACGAUAAGACAUGACCUCCUUUUUUGGCAGGUGGCCAGAUUUCACGAACUUAGCCAGUUUACUCUUGGUAACUAUGGAUGGGACCCAAUUGCAGGUCACAGGGGCCUUGGCAGCCUUAGGAGCCAUGACAACAAUUGGCCUAUGACAAAAUAAGAAGAUCCGGUUCAAUUUUAACCCGGAAGAAAUAUCUUAAUUAUUCAAGGUGGCGGCUUAAUAAGGGGCCUAAUGAUAUAAGGAUAACUACGCAACGGUAUUUAAGCCGCCACACAUAACAAAAGCAGUUCCAACUUCUUAAGGUCAUGAGGAGCAAGUAAGGUUCACAGUUCUGUGUCAUUUAUCUAAGCCGGCUACAUGGACAGUUGUGUGGAAAAGUAUUUGACAGAAGUAGUUUUCCGGGUGAUACAAACAGGUUUCAUAAUCUGCUAUUGAUAUUUGAGAUCAAAAAAUGACACUGACAAGAAAAUUUUCUAGACCUAAAACUGAUGCAGAUGAAGUUCAAGAGCUUGAAUGGGACCUCUGUGUAACAGAAAGGGAUCUAUCUACGUCCAAAGUAGGUGCGGAAAACCUACCAUAUCGGUUUCUACCAUCUCUAAAGAUCAAGAAAAGUGGGGGUAAUGGAAUCCAUGAAAGGGAACUGCUAAACGGCGAAGAACGCAAGAACUCGGAGGUCUUAAUGUGGAUCUAAGAGGCAGGAAAAAGGGGACUUACGGAUGCAGGGUUGCAGCGGAAGAUUGUCGCGUUACUCUGGUCAAACCAGGUUGAUGCAGCAGCCGGAGUUGGUGAAGACGAGAUCUACGACAGCGGCGGCGGCAGAGCUCGAGCGACAGAGAAGCAGCGAGAGGAAGAAGACGACUGGAAGGAGGAGAAUGGGUAGACCAGGGUCGCGCCUAUUUAUAAGAGAAGGAUAACUGAGGCAGCACGAGAAACGAGGAGAUAAAAUUUAUUAUCCAGCAGCCCUGACGCCUCGAUUCUCGGGAUGGUCAGUAAAGGCAAAGAUCCAUUGGAGGAUAUGAUGGAGUAAAAAUAAGUUUUAUUGAAGAUGACGUCAUGGUGAUUUAACCCGGAUCCAGAUGAUGACGUCACAUCGGGUUAAAAUCUUCGCGCAAGACAAAAGACUGAAGGACAGUUCCAUAAGGUAUUUUAAGAUUGACAUGAACAAGUUCAAAUCAAUCUAGGGCCUAAUGUUGGGGAUAUAACUAUUUGUGUAAGCCGCCCAGGAGGGGCCGGGUUACGCAAAGACUUACCAGAGAGAAGCCCAAGACCAAAGCAUGAAGAUGGCAGUUCAUAGAGGGCUUAAGGCCCACACGCGACUUAAGGCCCAUUGUAAUAAACCGCCACAGUAAUAUGACUUGUAUCAUAAGGUAGACUUAACUAGUCACCGAGUCGGACACUGUUUAUAAACCGGCCGGGACUCUGUGAGCCACAGGGCGUCAACCCAUGUAUAUAAGGGGACGGCCUGCUAGCGGCUUAGGGCAAGAAACAACUCAUUGAGAGCCGGGCAUAGCGUAUCUCGCUCCCUGGUCAUCGAAACAUUAAUACCAACCCAACUAGACGUAGGCCUUACCUUCACCGUAAGGGGUCGAACUAGUAUAAAACCUCUCGUGUCCCUUGUCCCGAUUAACCCCUUCAAGCUUCCUAGUUGCGAUGGCUCCACAACUAAGUCCUUUCACGAGGACAUCUAACGUGACAAUUCCACGACAGGAAUUAAGUUUGGGGAUGCUUGAUACGUCUCCAAUGUAUCUAUAAUUUUUUAUUAUUCCAUGCUAUUAUAUUAUCCAUCUUGGAUGUUUUAUAGGCAUUUAUAUGUUAUUUUAUAUGAUUUUUGGGACUAACCUAUUAACCUAGAGCCCAGUGCCAGUUUCUGUUUUUCCUUGUUUUUGAGUUUUACAGAAAAGGAAUAUCAAACGGGGUCCAAACGAGUUGAAAAUUCCUGAUGAUUUUUAUGACCAGAAGAAGCCCCCAAAGCAAAAGAGUUGGACCAGAAGAGUCCUGAGUCAUCCAUGAGGGUGGAGGGCGCGCCCUACCCCCCUAGGCGCGCCCCCUACAUCGUGGCUGACUCGGAGACCCCCCUGACGUGAAACCGACGCCAAAAAUUCCUAUAAAUACAGAAAACCCCGAAAAGAAACCAAGAUCGGGAUUUCCACCUCCGCAAGCCUCUGUAGACACCAAAAUCCAAUUGGGACCCUGUUCCGGCACCCUUCCAGAGGGGGAUCCAUCACCGGUGGCCAUCUUCAUCAUUCCGGCGCUCUCCAUGAUGAGGAGGGAGUAGUUCACCCUCGGGGCUGAGGGUAUGUACCAGUAGCUAUGUGUUUGAUCUCUCUCUCUCUCUCUCUCUCUCUCUCUCUCUCUCUCUCUCGUGUUCUUGAUUCAGCAUGAUCUUGAUGUAUCGUGAGCUUUGCUACUAUAGUUGGAUCAUAUGAUGUUUCUCCCCCUCUAUCUUCUUGUAAUGGAUUGAGUUUUCCCUUUGAAGUUAUCUUAUCGGAUUGAGUCUUUAAGGAUUUGAGAACACUUGGUGUAUGUCUUGCAUGUGCUUAUCUGUGGUGACAAUGGGAUAUUCAUGUGAUCCACUUGAUGUAUGUUUUGGUGAUCAACUUGCGGGUUAUGUGACCUUGUGAACUUAUGCAUAAGGGUUGGCACACUUUUUCGUAUUGACUCUCCAGUAGAAACUUCGGGCCACUCUUUGAAGUUCUUUGUGUUGGUUUGAAUAGAUGAAUCUGAGAUUGUGUGAUGCAUGUCAUAUAAUCAAACCCGCAGAUACUUAUGGUGACAUUAGAGUAUCUAGGUGACAUUAGGGUUUUGGUUGAUCUGUGUCUUAAGGUGUUAUUUUACUACGAACUCUAGGGCUAUUUGUGACACUUAUAGGAAUAGCCCAAUGGAUUGAUCGGAAAGAAUAACUUUGAGGUGGUUUCGUACCCUACAAUAAUCUCUUUGUUUGUUCUCCGCUAUUAGUGACUUUGGAGUGACUCUUUGUUGCAUGUCGAGGGAUUGUUAUAUGAUCUAAUUAUGUUAUCAUUGUUGAGAGAACUUGCACUAGUGAAAGUAUGAACCCUAGGCCUUGUUUCAAAGCAUUGCAAUACCGUUUUCGCUCACUUUUACCACUUGCUACCUUGCUAUUUUUAUAAUUUCAGAUUACAAAAACCUAUAUCUACCAUCCAUAUUGCACUUGUAUCACCAUCUCUUCGCCAAACUAGCGCACCUAUACAAUUUACCAUUGUAUUGGGUGUGUUGGGGACAUAAGAGACUCAUUAUUAUUUGGUUGCAGGGUUUUUUGAGAGAGACCAUCUUCAUCCUACGCCUCACACGAAUUGAUAAACCUUAGGUCAUCCACUUGAGGGAAAUUUGCUACUUUCCUACAAACCUUUGCACUUGGAGGCCCAACAAUGUCUAAAAGAAUAAGGUUGCAUAGUAGACAUCACGCCGAGAACGCCAAGUCCAGCGGCAACCUGAAUCACGUCAAAUGAAGCAUAAGAAAAAGAACGACUCGGCGGCUCUCCGGAGUCAGCAGAAGACUUACCCUAUCACCGCCGGGACAGGCCAUCUCGCCGGCGCCGCCGGGGCAAUACGUUGCCUCUUCCUGGUGUCUGGCUUACCGCUUGUGGUCGGAUCCGUUGUGCGCUUUGCGGCCGGCUUCGGCACCACGUACUCUUCUCCAUGUGGCCGGCGCGUGGGACGACCCGGUGAUGACCCACAAGUAUAGGGGAUCUAUCGUAGUCCUUUCGAUAAGUAAGAGUGUCGAACCCAACGAGGAGCAGAAGGAAAUGAUAAGCAGUUUUCAGUAAGGUUUUCUCUGCAAGCACUGAAAUAGUAGGUGAUAGAUAGUUUUGUGAUAAGAUAAAUAAUAACGAGCAAAAGUAAAUAAAGUAAAUAAGGUGCAGCAAGGUGGCCCAAUCCUUUAUGUAGCAAAGGAUAAGCCUGGACAAAUUCUAAUAAGGAUGAAGGAGCUCCCGAGAACACAUUGGGAAUUAUCGUCAAGCUAGUUUCAUCACAUUCAUAUGAUUCGCGUUCGGUACUUUGAUAAUUUGAUAUGUGGGUAGACCGACACUUGGGUACUGCCCUAACUUGGACAAGCAUCCCACUUAUGAUUAACCCCUAUUGCAAGCGUCCGCAACUACAAAAAGGAGUAUUAAGGUAAACCUAACCACAACAUUAAACAUAUGGGUCCAUAUGAACCCCUAACGAAGCAAUUCAUAAACUAGGGUUUAAGAUUCUGUCACUCUAGCAACUCAUCAUCUACUUAUUACUUCCCUAUGCCUUCCUCUAGGCCCAAAUAAUGGUGAAGUGUCAUGUAGUCGAUGUUCACAUAACACAACUAGAGGAGAGACAACAUACAUCUCAUCAAAAUAUCAAACGCAUACCAAAUUCACAUGACUACUAAUAGCAAGACUUCACCCAUGUCCUCAGGAACUAAAGUAACUACUCACAAAGCAUAAUCAUGUUCAUAAUCAGAUGUGUAAUAAUAUGCAUUAAGGAUCUGAACAUAUAAUCUUCCACCAAGUAAACCAAUAAGUAUCAACUACAAGGAGUAAUCAACACUACUAGCAACCCACAGGUACCAAUUUGUGGUUUUGGAUACAAGAUUGGAUACAAGAGAUCAACUAGGGUUUGAGAGGAGAUGGUGCUGGUGAAGAUGUUGAUGAAUAUUGACCCCCUCCCGAUGAGAGGAUCAUUGGUGAUGACGUUGGUGAUGAAUUCCCCCUCCCGGAGGGAAGUGUCCCCGGCAGAACAGCUCCACCAGAGCCCUAGAUUGAUUCCGCCAAGGUUCCGCCUCGUGGCGGCGGAGUUUCAUCCUGUAAGCUUGCCCACAAUUUUUCCAGGACAAAACCCUUCAUAUAGCAGAAGAUGGUCGCCGGAGGCCCACCAGGGGGCCCAGGAGAUAGGGGGCGUGCCCUAUGGGGGGGCGCCCCCUGCCUCCUGGCAGGGUGUGGGCCCCCUGGCCUAUUUCUUUUGCUCAUAAUUCCUUAAUAAAUCCAAAAAGUGGUUUCGUGGAGUUUCAAGACUUUUGGAGUUGUGCAGAAUAGGUUUCCAACGUUUGCUCCUUUUUCAGCCAGAAUUCCAGCUGCCGGCAUUCUCCCUCUUCAUGGUAAACCUUGUAAAAUAAGAGAGAAUAGCCAUAAGUAUUGAGAUAUAAUGUGUAAUAACAGCCCAUAAUGCAAUAAAUAUUGAUAUAAAAGCAUGAUGCAAAAUGGACGUAUCAACUCCCCCAAGCUUAGACCUCGCUUGUCCUCAAGCAGAAGCCAAGAUCGAGAAAUAUGACCACAUGUUUAGAGAUAGAGGUGUCGAUAAAAAUAAAAUACGGACAUGAGGGCAUCAUGAUCAUUCUAAUAACAACAACAUAUAUAUAGAUUUUGUCAUAUGAUUUCCUAUGUUCAAGUAAUAAGCAAUUCACAAUGUCAAGUAUGGGUCAUAAACUUCAUUGGGAACUAACAGACUAUAAUCUCAGUCAUUGAAGCAAUUACAAUUUAUCGUAACAUCAGAAAGAGUCAAUAAUAGAGCUUUUCAGCAGGAUCACAUACUCAACUAUCUCGUAGUCCCCCAUAAUUGUUAACACUCACUCAAUUCUUGUGGUUAUAGAGUUUCAGCCGGACACUAAGAAAGAUAGGGGCUUAUUAUGUUGCCUCCCAACAUAUUCACCUUUAGGUGAUGUCAACAAUAAUAGCCUAUGCCAACUUACAUUCAAUUUGAUAUAUGUAUCAUGACCUUUCAAACACGAGAAGCUUGCCAAAGGAUAAAAUGAAAAAGUGGAAGGGUGAGGAUCACCUUGACUCAAGCAUAAAGUAAAAACAUAAAGUAGAAGAUAGGCCCUUCGCAGAGGGAAGCAGAGGUUGUCAUGCACUUUUAGGGUUGGAUACACAAAAUCUUAAUGCAAAAGAACGUCACUUUGUAUUGCCCCUUGUAUGUGGACCUUUAUUAUGUACUCUGUCGCUUUUAUUACUUCCACAACAAGUUCGUACAAAGCUUAUUUUCUCUGCAUUAAUAAGUCAUGCAUAUUUAGAGAGCAAUUUUUAUUGCUUGCACCAAUGACAGCUUACUUGAAGGAUCUUACUCAAUCCAUAGAUAGGUAUGGUGGACUCUCAUGGCAAAACUGGGUUUAAGGGAGUCUGGAAGCACAAGUAGUAUCUCUACUUGGUGCAAGGAGUUUUGGCUAGCAUGAGGGGCAAAGGCAAGCUCAACAUGUUCAGAAGGUCACUGACAAUAUACUUUAACUGAGAUGUCGGAAAACAUAAACCAUUACGUUGUCUUCCUUGUCCAACAUCAAUUCUUUUAGCAUGUCAUACUUAAUGAGUGCUUCACAAUCAUAAAAGAUGUCCAAGAUAAUAUAUUUAUAUGUGAACCCCUCUUUCCUUAUCACUUCCUAUUAAUUGCAACGAUGACCAAGGCUAUGUUCAUCAACUCUCAACAAUUUUUAUGCCUCAUACUUUCUAUGUGUGAAGUUAUCACUAUCCAUAAGAUCAAUAUGAACUCUUUUGUUCUUUCUACUUUCUCAAGAUCAUAGCAACAUAGCAAAGCCCUUGACUCAACACUAAUCUUUAUUAUAGAUAGCACACGGACUCGCUUACAAAAAGAGAUCACAACGAAAACUCAAAACUACUUGAUAUCAAAACUUUGAACUAAUAGAUCAAGAUACUACUAAAAGGAUCGAACUAAAUAAAGCGGUAAAGAUAGGAGUGUGAUGGUGAUACGAUACCGUGGCACCUCCCCCAAGCUUGGCAGUUUCCAAGGAGGAUGCCCAUACCCAUGUGAUUAUUUCUUCUGUGGUGAUGGAGGUGGUGAUGAUGAUGGUGGAUAAUCGCACAUUGAGCGUAAAAGCUCCUCCAACUUGCGGAUAAUGCCCUUGAGCCCAGCAAUAUGAUCUUUCAACAAAAUAUUCUCCUGUGUGAGAUACUUGUUUUGUAUGCGGGCUAACUCAAUCAUCUAGAAAGCCUCAAUCUCUGUUGGAGUGAAAAGGUUAGGUAAAGGGCUAGGGAUGUCUUCUUCUUUCACCACCGGAGCGUGAACCUCCAUGGCCUUCUUGAUCCCUUCAUCCUUGUUGAUCUCUUCUGGUUCCUCUCUUUUCAACUCUAUCUUCAAUAGCCAGGCAUCCUUGUCUUUGUUGUUGUAGGAGGGAGAAGUCAUGGUGCUCUAAAUCUGCAAUAGGAACAGCUCGAAACGAAAACAGAGGAUAUUUGCGUGAUACGGUGGCCAAAACCUUCGGGAGUAUAUAUAAUGAAUUUUUACCGACCAAAAUACGUGACAUACAAGAAAACGGAGUCCAGGAGGCACAUGAGGUGCCCACGAGACAGGGGGGCGCGCCCUCCUCUCUCGUGGGAGCCUUGUGUCCCUUUCGGACUACUUCUUUCUUCCUAAAAUUCUUAAAUAAUCCAAAACUGAUGAAAAUUACCAUUAGAGUUGUUUUGGAGUCGGUAAACUUACCGUACCACGUACCUAUGCCUUUUCGGAGUCUGGAACGUUCUGGAAAGUGUCUCUUAUGUACUCCUCUGGGUUAUGGUUUUAAUAAUAUUAGUUUCAACAUUGAUAGGGUUACCUAAAAUAUAAUGCUUGAUUCUUUGACCCAUUAACCACCCUAGGAUUUGUGCCUUCAAAGUUGUUAAAUUUUAUAGCACCGGAACGGUAGACCUCCUCGAUAACGUAGGGACCUUCCCAUUUUGAGAGAAGUUUUCCUGCAAAAAAUCUUAAACGAGAGUUGAAUAAUAACACAUAAUCUCCUACAUUAAACUCAGGCUUUGGUUUCUCCUCUGCAAAGAGCUUAGUAGAGCUAACAUGCCAUGUCAUUGAGAAUACAACGUCACUUGAGGGCCUGACAUUGGACACCACAACAGGACAUCCUUCGUAUAGCUGUUUAACUCAACAAUAUUGGAAAGUGCAUGCUGUUAGACGGGGAUUUUAUGGUGGAAGUUCGUAAAGGGCUCUUGGCUAUCAGGACAUAUGUUGAGCCAAAAGUUCCUUCCAGAGUCAAGCUAAAUGUUGUGGAGCCUUGCCGCCGAUGCCAUGAUCAACCACUGAUCAUAUGUUGAACUUCAUAUGCAAGUUAUCAUAAGUACCCUAUGAUUCCUGUGUAAGUUAAACCAGAACGUCGAGGAACCUUGCUGCUGCUGCUACCCGGGUUAUACACCCCAAACCCAAUGUUUAACGUGUAACUAGUAGGCUCGUGUGUUGCCAUGUAAGUGGACCUCCUGCCACUGCAAUGUUUCUAGGUGUAGGUGCAAGCAAAGUACUAUAACUGUAAUGGACAGAAAAUUGUUGAUCCGUAAAAGAUGUACUCCCAGUAUCCAGUAGAGCCACUGCUCCUUUUCCAUUGAGAUAGAUGACCACAGUGGGUGUGGAAGGGGAGCACCACUGAUGGCUUGGGCAGAAAUGAACAUCACAUUUUCUGUGUUGUUCCCUGUAUUUCAGGUUCUUCAGUGUCAGUUUGCUGUUGGCCAGUAUGAUCUUCCUGCAUGAUAUGAAUAUUUGGUACUAAUUUGCUCUAGUGGCUUUGAACCCAUUUAUCACAACAUCUCCAACAUUCUCCCACUUUUCUAGUUUUAUGAAACUUAACAUUUGGCAGCUCUAAUUGUUUCGAAGGUUGUUGUUGUUGGACAGGCAUAUGAACAUGAACAUAUCUCUGAGGCACAACAUUGUUUGGUUUCUUAUAGAAGUUUGUGCAAGGGACACGGGUCUUUUGUGAUGGAUUUCAUGAACCGAUCUUUCAUUUCCUGUUCAUAUGCUUUCAAAUAUCUCGGCCAUAACUGCCUCUGUCGGUGUUGAUUGAACUGGCUAAAUGCUGGAGUAUAAGCUUGUGCUG
rnacentral:lncRNA from 1 species